rnacentral:lncRNA from 1 species
GUGAACUAUUGAUUUUCUGUUGGACAUUUUAUUUUUAAGCCAUGGCGUUGCCAAUAGAUAUAUAUGAAGAUGUGCCAUGAGUGCCAAUAACAUAAUUCUCCAUCCAAGUCACAAUUUGUAAAAGUAAACCAUUAUAGGUCAAAGUACGGUUUCCAACAUGGAGCCGUCAUGUUGGCUCACACCGAACAGCAAACAAUAAAGGGCC